rnacentral:rRNA from 1 species
UACGUAGGUGGCAAGCGUUGUCCGGAUUUAUUGGGUUUAAAGGGUGCGUAGGCGGCCCUGUAAGUCAGUGCUGAAAUAUCCCGGCUUAACCGGGAGGGUGGCAUUGAUACUGCGGGGCUAGAGUACAGAUGAGGUAGGCGGAAUGGACGGUGUAGCGGUGAAAUGCUUAGAUAUCGUCAAGAACACCUAUAGCGAAGGCAGCUUACUAGGCUGUAACUGACGCUGAGGCACGAAAGUGUGGGGAUCAAACAGG